AGCUAAACGUAUCAUCAGAAAACAUUUGAUUCCCCAGCUUUGCUGUAGCCCGCCUACCUGAUGUUUCUACCAAUACGUGUGAAAAGCGUCCAGGCAAGAACAGAAGAAUUAUUUACAGUUUAUCAAGAGACAGAUGCUGGUGCCUGAAUUUUCAUAAGAAAGAGGAGAGGAAGGAAGAGAGGGGAAGAAGAGAAUGAAGGCAGAACAGAAAAGAGAAGAAACCAUGUGUUUUCUAAAGGGCCGGAGUUAUUUAUUAACGAAUAAUAAAUAGUAAAGCUAAAAAGAA